rnacentral:rRNA from 1 species
UACAGAGGUCUCAAGCGUUGUUCGGAUUCAUUGGGCGUAAAGGGUGCGUAGGUGGCGGGGCAAGUCUGGUGUGAAAUCCCGGGGCUCAACCCUGGAACUGCACUGGAUACUGCUUUGCUAGAGUACUGGAGAGGGAACUGGAAUUUACGGUGUAGCAGUGAAAUGCGUAGAUAUCGUAAGGAAGACCAGUGGCGAAGGCGAGUUCCUGGACAGUUACUGACACUGAGGCAGCGAAGGCCAAGGGGAGACAAACGGG